CCACCCCAGGUCAGCGGAAUAACCCGCCUGAGUUUAAGCAUAUCAAUAAGCGUACGGAAAAAAACCUUACAAGGAUUCCUAUAACGUGCGAGCGACAACCCCCGAACGCCCAGCCUUAGAAUCGGAACGGGGGGGGCGCCCUUUCCGUUUCGAUUGUAGUCCUGCGAGAAGCGUCCUCAGCGGCGACGGCCAAGUUCCUCAUGCUAAAGGGCGCGGACGGUUUGUGAAGCCCCGUUGUGCCCGGACCCUGUCGCACCACGAGCCUGCUACGAUCGUUGUUGGAAUGCGCCCCAAUUCGGCGGUUGAAUUCCUUCAUGUGUAAUAUACGGGGAGAACUGAUAGCGAACAAGCAUACCGCGAGGAAAGAAUGAAAAACUUUGAAAAGAGAGUUCAAAGAUGUGCUUGAAAUUGUCGGAGGAAAGCGAGACGAGACCGGCAUCGCGCCCGUAGUAUGUGAAUGCAGAGCCGUGUCCGCGAUCUCUCGGGGCCAGACCACCAGAUUCGCGGCGGCAAACCCGGCUUUGAUCACGCACGACGAACGUUCGUCUCUCGCGAUCCAUGGAGCAACGCGCCGCCCCAUGAGUGCCUCGGCACCGCGCGCUCCGGUCGCUGGCUGUGGGCUCUCCAUUUCGACCCGUCUUGAAACAGGACAAAGGAGUCUAACAUGUGUGCGAGUCCAACGCGAGCUAAACCCGUACAGCGCAAGGAAGCCUAAUUGGGGGAUCCCCCUCACUCGGUGUGCGACGCCGACCGACCUUGAUCUUUUGAGAAGCGUCUCGAGUGCGAGCAUACCUUACGGGACCAAGAUGGCGUAACAGCCUGACGGGCGAAGCCAGAGUAACUCUGGGAGGCCCGCAGCUGAUACUGACGUGCCAAUAAUGUUCGUCUGACUUGGAAUAUAGCGGGCGACUUAAGAUUAAUCGAACCGUCUAGUAGCUGGUUCCCUCCGAGACUUUCCCUCACGGAUAGCUGCUGCGCUCGAGAAUUCUAUCCGUAAAGCCAAUGAUUAGAGGCCAUCGGUGCGUAACGCCCCGACCUAUUCUCAAAAUUUAAAUAGUAGACGGCCGGCGUUCGUUGUGCCGCCGCCACGAAUCAACAGAUCUCCAAGUGUCGCCAUUUUGGUUCGAAGCCGACUGCGAUCGGAUGAACGGAACCGGGUUACGUGUCCCACUGCGCGCUCAACCUAGAUCACAAAGGUAUGAUUGUCGAUUAAGAACAGCAAGGAACUCGGUCCAUGGAAAAGUCGAAUACCGCCUAAAAGGAGUGUGUACUGUAACAACCACCGCCGAAUCAAACUAGCCCCGAAAAUGGAUGGCGCUUAACGCGGACCUACCGGCCGUCGGGCCAAGAGCUAGCCCGGAGUAGGAGGGCCGCGCUCGCUCGCAAAACCUUGGCGUAGCCGCGGCACGGCACGUAGUGCCAGAUCUUGGGGUUUAAUAGCAAUAAUAUUCAAAUGAGAACUUUGAAGGCGAAGAGGGAAAGAGUCCAUAGUGAACGGACUUGCACAUGGUUAUUCGUCCUAAGCGUGGGGAAGCCCGACAGACAGCGCUUAUUGCCGUGCGCCGAAAGCAAUCGGUGCUUAAAUUGAGGGGGGUCCUGAUACCGCGACGUCGGGUGACGCAACGUUAGAUUCCGGAGACGCGCGGCUCGGAAGAUAUUCUUCUGUUUUAACAUGCUGCAACCUGGAAACGGCUCCAGCGACGGUCAGGGUCCAGCGGCUGGAGAGCACCGCCACGUCGCGGGUGUCCGUGCGCCCCCGGCAGGCCCCUUUGAAAAUCCGAAGCGAGUCGACCAUUCCGGUCGUACUCAAACCCGCAUCAUGUUCACACGUGUAACGAGCCUUCUGCCAAUGUGUAACAAUGUAGCUAAGAGGAAGUUCCGGCAAAAUGAUAUCCUAAGCUCGUGGAAAAGGAAUUGGCUCUGAGACUGGACGGGUCAAAGUCCGAACCCAGAUCGGUGAUUCGAGCGUGAACAUGCAUCGAGCGCAAUUAACCGGGCAGACGAGAACGCGUCCGCGACGAUCAUCCGGAGGGCACAGAGAACAAAAGGCGAACGGCUCUUCGGCGGCCUUCCCGGCGUCGAACACCAACUCAGAACUGCGUACGGACAAUGGGAAUCCGACUGUAAUUAACAAAGAUUUGCGAUCGGCUGCGGAUGCGUAACCAAUGUGAUUUUGCCCAUGCUCAUGAAUGCAAAGUGAAGAAAUUCAAACCAACGAGGUUCCUCAGUUAAACCGCGAGUAACUAUACUUUCUUAACGGUAGCAAAAGCCUCGUAUCUAAUAUUAGUGACGCGCCAUGAAUGACAUUUACGGAUUCCCACUGCCUGUCUAUAUCCAGCGAAACACACAAGGCGAAGGCACAACUUGGCCAAUAUCAGCGAAGGGAUAAAAACACCCUUUAGCUUGACUUCUAGUCCGACUUUGUGAUCAAUGAUGAGAGGUGUAGGAUAAGUGCGGACGAAAGCCAAGUGAAAUAACCAUAUUUUAAACGUUAAUUUUAUUAUUUCCGUUGAAUCGGAGCGGGCAAUUGCCCCACUCUUUUUGGACCCAAGGCUCCGCUUGCGGGACCGUAUCGGGCGGAAACAAGAAUUUUCAGGUGGGGAGUUUGCAUGUGGCGGCACAUCUGAUUAAACAGAUAACGCAAGGAUUCUAAGAUAGCUCAACGACGAACAGAAAUCUCUGUGAACGAAGGAAAAGCUCUUGAUUUAUUUCCAUACGAAUACGAACCUGAAAGCGUGGCCUAACGAUCCUUUAUAGACCAUCGAAUUCGAAGCUAAGAGGUGUCAUGAAAAGUUACACCGGGAUAAACGCUUUUGCAGCCAAGCGUUCAUACGACGUUGCUUUUGAUCCUCAUGCGGCUCAUUCCUAAUUCAUUGUGAAGCAAAUUUCAUCAAGUGUUGAUUGUUCACCCACCAUAGGAAGUGAGCUGGGUUAGACCUGUCGUGGAACAGGUUAGUUUUACCUACUAUGACAGUGUCGCCAAUAGUAUUCACACUAGUCGAAGAACGUUGAUUCGCACAUAUUCGUAUCUCGCUUGCGUUGAAAAGCAGCUUGCCGAUAGCUCACCGUGCGUUAGAUUAUGACUGAACGCUCUAAUUCAGAUCCGGUUAGACCGCUGCGCUCUCGCCCGUUGCCGACCCGCAUACGGCAUUUGCCCCAAGGGACGUUCGUUGGCUACCGUCGUGGCGAAAGGCCCCCCCCCACCCCCCUCCCCCCCCCCCCCCCCCCCCCCUUCCCCCCCCCCCCAUCCCCCCCCCCCCCCCCCCCCCCCCUUCCCCCCCCCCCCCCCCCCCCCCGCCCCCUGACCGCCUGAUUACCAAUUUCGAUCAGCACGAGCGAGCUAGAAUCCUUUGCCAGUACACUUAACAUACAGCGACGGGUAUUGUUAAGGUAGAGUGGCUUCUUGCCACGAUCCUCUAGAUUCAGCCCUUUUCGCUCCGAUUCUC
rnacentral:rRNA from 1 species